rnacentral:lncRNA from 1 species
GGCUUGGGCAUAGGCACGGCACAAGAUGUUCCUUCUCUUUCCUUCCUUGCAAGCAGCGGCACUAGAGGUUUUGGAUGGUUUUGGGUGGUUUUUAUGGUGUAGAAUGGAUGGGGAAUGGUAUGGAAAGGUUUAGGGUAAGUGUGGAGGAGUGUUUGAGGGUUGGAGGGUGGUGGAGAACUAGGCAAAGAGGGUGGAAGAAGGUGGAUUGGCUGUUAUGUUUUCUAGGCACUAGAAUGGUGUUUUUGGGGUGUUUUGCUUCCUAGGGUGUGUAUGGACGAAUUGUUGUGAUAAAAUGAUGAAUAUGGGGGAUUGUCCUUUGGCCAAGGGGUGUAAACAUGUAUUUAUAGGCCCCAAAAA